rnacentral:rRNA from 1 species
CCUACGGGAGGCAGCAGUGGGGGAUAUUGCACAAUGGGGGGAACCCUGAUGCAGCGACGCCGCGUGGGUGAAGGAGUGCUUCGGCAUGUAAAGCCCUAUCGGCAGGGAAGAAGCAAGACGGUACCUGACUAAGAAGCCCCGGCCAACUACGUGCCAGCAGCCGCGGUAAUACGUAGGGGGCGAGCGUUAUCCGGAUUCACUGGGUGUAAAGGGAGCGUAGACGGCAAUGCAAGCCAGGGGUGAAAGCCCGGGGCCCAACCCCGGGACUGCCCUUGGAACUGUGCGGCUAGAGUGCGGGAGGGGCAGGCGGAAUUCCUGGUGUAGCGGUGAAAUGCGUAGAUAUCAGGAGGAACACCGGCGGCGAAGGCGGCCUGCUGGACCGCGACUGACGUUGAGGCUCGAAAGCGUGGGGAGCGAACAGGAUUAGAUACCCGGGUAGUC